rnacentral:ribozyme from 1 species
AGUCCUUGCAGGGCUGUUCCAUUGUUUCUCGUCCCAGCGAGAAUGCCCUGG